rnacentral:rRNA from 1 species
GAUCCUGGCUCAGGACGAACGCUGGCGGUGUGCCUCAUACAUGCAAGUCGAACGAUAAGGUUCCUUCGGGAAUACAUAAGUGGCGGACGGGUGAGUACAACAUAGGAAAUCUGCCCCAGAGAGGGGGACAACAGAGGGAAACUUCUGCUAAUACCCCAUAUGAGCUUAGUUGAAAUACUAAUCUUGAAAACUCCGGUGCUCUGGGAUGAGCCUGUGCCUGAUUAGCUAGUUGGUGGUGUAAUGGACUACCAAGGCGACGAUCAGUAGCUGGUUUGAGAGGAUGAUCAGCCACAAUGGGACUGAGACACGGCCCAUACUCCUACGGGAGGCAGCAGUAGGGAAUUUUGCGCAAUGGGGGAAACCCUUGACGCAGCAACACCGCGUGAAUGUUGAGCCCUUCGGGGUGUAAAGUUCUGUCAGUAGGGAAGAACAAAUGACUGUACCUACAAAGGAAGCACCGGCUAACUCCGUGCCAGCCGCGGC